CCAGCUGCCAGUCCUUUGGUUGUACAACAAGGAUCCAUGGACAAAAUCCCCUUUUCUAGAUUGGUUUCUUCAGUGCUUUGUCCCUGAAGUCAGGAAGUACUUUGCUACUAAGGGAUUGCCUUUUAAAGUUCUUUGGAUAUUGGACAAUGCCUCUGGCCACCCAGAACUCCCUGGGUUCAACAGUGAAGGCGUUGAGGUGGUCUACUUGCCCCUGAACACAAUGUCUCUAACUUAGCCUCUGGAUCAGGGGGUCAUAAGGACCCAAGGCUCAUUACACAUGGUUCAUGGUACUCUUUGGACAGAUUGUCAAUGCCAUGGAAGAGAACCCUGAGAGAGAGCGAGCAUCAUGAAAGUUCGGAAGGAUUAUACCAUUGAAGAUGCCAUCGUUGUUACAGAAAAAGCUGUGAAAGUCAUCAAGCUCAAAACAGUAAAUUCUCACUAGAGAAUACUGUGUCCAGAUGUUGUGUGUAACUUCUCAGGAUUUAUGACAGAGCCAGUCAACGAAACCAUGAAAAAGAUGAUGGGUGUGAUGAAAAGGUUGGGGGUAUAGGGUUUCAAGAUACGGAUCUAGGAGAAAUUCAAAAGCUAAUAGACAACACACCAGAUGAAUUAACAGAAGACUACUUGGUGGAGAAGAGUGCUUUCAGACAACUGCCAGAUGAUGAAGAGGAAGACGCAGAAUAGGCAGUGCCAGAAAACAAAUUGACAUGAGAAAACCUGGCAGAUGGGUUCCAGUUAUUCAAGACUGCUUUUGACUUCCUUUAUGACAUGAACCCUUCUAUGAUAAGGGCAUUGAAACUAAAGCAAAUGAAAGGAUUGGUACCACAUAGAAACAUGGUUUAGAGAAAUAAAAAACAAAAAAAGAUACAAAUUACUUCCAGUGUAUUUUUGUAAAGUUAUACCUGGGUGCCUGCCUUCCUCCCUCACCUUCCAUCUCCUCUACCGACCAACCCCGCCUCAUCUCCCCCUCCCCAUCCUACCCAAUGUGAAGAUUAUGAGGAUGAAGACCUUUACAAUGAUCCACUCCCACUUAAUGAAUAACAGGCACCAUGGUUUCCACAAAGCUCUCCUAAAGCCAGAGAUGUUUCCAACUGACCUGUAGUAAUUAGGAGCACAAGCCUUGAGUCCUGGUGAAGUUAUGUGAUCUCCGGGAAGUUAUAGAAAUCGUGCACACCUCAGUUGUCUCAUCUGUAGGAUGGACUAAUAAUAGUAUUUUAUUUAUUUCUUUUUACCAACUGACAUCUGAGCACCUCUCCCGUUUGUAGCUGUUGUCUCUCCAUCUAUUCUGGGACUCUCUGUGGAGCCAAAGGGUCCAGAUAUUCCCUACCCCUGGCAGUUGGAACACAAGUGGCUGUGGUGGAACUGAAGGCCCAGUGUUGGCAAGGCCAGUGAGGGUUCUAGCCAGAGCAGUUUCGUAGUAUCACCUUUCCGGUCCUAGUUCUUUUUCCUUCUUGUCAAUUCUGUGAGCCAAUCAAUAGUCUUCAAAUAAAACACCUUUCUGCCUACGUAAGCUGGAGUCACUUCUGAUACUUGCAUCCAAGGACUUUGAGAAGGGCAUUAUCUUACUCUGGUUUUGUUGUUGUUCAUUCUGUUUUUAAAAUUAUGUACAAAUGGUUCAAAUACUUUUUUGGCAUACAAUGUUAUGAAUUUUAACAUCUGUAUGGAUUAAAACACCACUGCAAUCAGGAUACAGAACAGUUCCAUACCUGGC
rnacentral:lncRNA from 10 species